UCCUGGCUCAGAGUGAACGCUGGCGGCGUGCCUAACACAUGCAAGUCGAACGAGAACGGCUCAAACCUUCGGGUUUGGGUGUCAGCUAAGUGGCGCACGGGUGAGUAAUACGUAGCUAACCUGCCCUAUAGCGGGGGAUAACAGGCCGAAAGGCCUGCUAAUACCCUAUACUCCUUCUCUACAUAAGUAGAGUUGUGGAAAGUUUCACUACCAGCUACCUACUAUUUGCAUUUGUUAGCAUAAAGCUAAUUGUUUAGAUACGAGGAGCAAUUUUAAAGAUAAAUCAAAAGAUUAUCGAGAAAUUGCGACGAAAUAGAUGAGUAAUUAGCUUUAUGCCCAAAGGGAACACAAAUAAAACUAAAUCUUUUGCGUUAGAUUUUUUUGCCUUAGAUGACUAAGGCUGCAAAAAUCUGUCUUAGGUCUUUAGUUUUCUUUAUGUUCUAACAAGUGUAAAUAGUAGGUAGCUGGUAGUGAUGCGCUAUAGGAUGGGGCUGCGGCCUAUCAGCUAGUUGGUGGGGUAACGGCUUACCAAGGCUAUGACGGGUAGCUGGUCUGAGAGGAUGAUCAGCCACACUGGAACUGAGACACGGUCCAGACUCCUACGGGAGGCAGCAGUGGGGAAUAUUGCGCAAUGGGGGCAACCCUGACGCAGCAACGCCGCGUGGAGGAUGAAGGCCUUCGGGUUGUAAACUCCUUUUCUGAGGGAAGAUGGUGACGGUACCUCAGGAAUAAGCACCGGCUAACUCCGUGCCAGCAGCCGCGGUAAUACGGAGGGUGCAAGCGUUACUCGGAAUCACUGGGCGUAAAGGGCGCGUAGGCGGUUUAGUAAGUCGGGUGUGAAAGCCCACAGCUCAACUGUGGAACUGCAUCCGAAACUGCUAGACUAGAGUUCGGAAGAGGCAGGUGGAAUUGGUGGUGUAGGGGUAAAAUCCGUAGAGAUCACCAGGAAUACCCAUUGCGAAGGCGACCUGCUGGGACGAUACUGACGCUGAGGCGCGAAAGCGUGGGGAGCAAACAGGAUUAGAUACCCUGGUAGUCCACGCCCUAAACGAUGGAUGCUAGUCGUUGGGGUGCUAGUCACCUCAGUGAUGCAGCUAACGCAAUAAGCAUCCCGCCUGGGGAGUACGGCCGCAAGGCUAAAACUCAAAGGAAUAGACGGGGACCCGCACAAGCGGUGGAGCAUGUGGUUUAAUUCGAAGAUACGCGAAGAACCUUACCUGGGCUUGACAUCCCGAGAACCCUGUAGAGAUACGGGGGUGCCCUCUUAUGAGGGAGCUCGGUGACAGGUGCUGCACGGCUGUCGUCAGCUCGUGUCGUGAGAUGUUGGGUUAAGUCCCGCAACGAGCGCAACCCUCGUCCUUAGUUGCCAGCACGAUAGGGUGGGCACUCUAAGGAGACUGCCCGGGUAACCGGGAGGAAGGUGAGGACGACGUCAAGUCAUCAUGGCCCUUAUGUCCAGGGCGACACACGUGCUACAAUGGCGCGUACAGAGAGACGCGAUACCGUGAGGUGGAGCAAAUCUCUAAAGCGCGUCCCAGUUCGGAUUGCAGUCUGCAACUCGACUGCAUGAAGCCGGAAUCGCUAGUAAUCGCGGAUCAGCCAUGCCGCGGUGAAUACGUUCCCGGGUCUUGUACUCACCGCCCGUCACACCAUGGGAGUUGAGCUCACCCGAAGCCGGGAGGCCAACCAGUUAUUGUAAUUGGGGGCUACCGUCCACGGUGGGCUCAGCGACUGGGGUGAAGUCGUAACAAGGUAAC
rnacentral:rRNA from 1 species